rnacentral:lncRNA from 1 species
UUCUAAGGCAAGGACAGUUUUAGCCUUGCCUACCAAGGAUAUGUGUUUGGUGGAGUAAUGAUUUUUUUGCUUUUGGAGGCAAGCUAGCUCGUAACUGCAGCUAAAUCCUUGCCUGGCUGGGAGAGCCAAAUUGACUCUCUCGCGAUGGCAAACUAGUGAAUCGUGGGUGAGACCAGUCAUGUAACUGUAAACUGGGGCAACACAACCAAACAACAUCGCUUAGCUCAUGUGGGCUAUGGCACAAACGGGCUAGUUUAAUUUAGCCUGGCUAGGCGAGACUAGCAAAUUAUCCAAACGUAC